AUGGCCUGGAUCCGCCAGAGACCCGGGCAGGCACUGGAGUUCAUUGCAGAUAUCAGCACCACUGACAGCACCAGCUACGCGCAUUCGGUCAAGGGGCUCCGGGCGGCCGUGACCCUGCUGGAGUGCGGAGGGCACCUCCAGCCCCCCGGGGGGACCCUGCGCCUCCUCUGCCGAGGGUCCGAGUUCUGUUCCGGUGGUUUCCACAUGAGCUGGUAUCGCCAGAGACCCGGGCAGCGGCUGGAGUGGGUCGCGAGUGUCAGUAACACCGGUGGCACCACCUGGUACGCGGAUUCCGUCAAGGGCCGGUUCAGGAUCUCCAGGGACAACGGGCAGAGCUCGGUGACGCUGACCAUGAACAACCUCAAGGACGAAGAUUCCGGAUCCUAUUUCUGU